AUGGAUAUUCCUCCCAAUAUAAAUGAGUAUAAGCAUAACUCGAAUAGUUAUGUUCAUAAUAAUAACGACAAUAAUGACAGAACAUAUAUCGAAAGGAAUCAUAUAGACAAUGUUUAUAAUGACUCUUUUUCUGAACACUUAUUUAAUAUAAACACGAAAUAUACUAGUAAUGGAAAUUGUAAUAACAAUAUAAACAUUUCUCAAGGGUAUAAAAAUAAUGACCCUUAUCAAAAAUCCCAUGUUGAACAUAUACCUAACUAUAUUGAUCCAUAUCAUACUUUCAAUGAAGAUAAUAAUAUUUUUGAAAAAAAAAAACAUAAUACUUUUAAUUUUAUUAACAAUUUUAAACAUAAUAGGGUAAAUGUUCAGGGGGGAACAGAAAAUGAAGAAAAAGAAGAAGAGGAAGAAGAGGAAGAAGAUGAAGAAGAUGAAAAUGAAGAAGAUGAAAAUGAUGAAGAUGAUGAUGAUGAUGAUGAAGAUGAUGAUGAUGAUGAUGAAGAUGAUGAUGAAGAUGAUGAAUAUAUAUGCGAUGACGAUAUGAUCCAUAGCGAUGAUAGUCAUUAUAUAUUUGAAAAUAAUACCAUGAGUAAUGAUAAUAAUGGUAAUAGUGGGGAGGAUAAUGAAGAUGUGUUGAAAUAUUAUAAUACUGUUAAUAAUGAUAAAAUAAAUGAUGAAAUUUUAUAUAAACAAAUUGACGAUUUAUUAAAUUAUAAAUCUCCAAAAACGAGAAGAAGCUAUAAAACACAAACAAAUAAUAAGUUAAAUUUUGUUGAUGAAAAUGAAAUUGAUAAUACCUUAUAUAAUCAGGAAAAAGAUAAACUUUUUUUUUCUUUUUUUUUAAAAGAUUUAUAUCAAUUCAAAAAUAUUCAAACAAAUGAGUAUGACGAUCAGACAACUAUAAAUAAUAAACAAAAAAAUGUUAGUAUUGUAGAUAAUAGGAAUAGGUGUUACUCUCUAUCCGAAUUAUACAAUAAAACUAACCAGUGUGAACAAAUUGAACAGCAUGAUCCAGUAAUGCAACAUAAGCAAAGUGCACAAUACGGCAAACCUAUACAACAUGAACAAACGAUAGAGACUAAACAACCCGUACACAUUGAACAACCGAUAGAAGUUGAACAACCCAUACAGAUUGAACAACCGAUAGAGGUUGAACAACCNNNNNNNNNNGUUGAACAACCCAUACAGAUUGAACAACCGAUAGAGGUUGAACAACCUGUACAAAGCGAACAACCAAACGUACACCUAACAAGCAUAAAACAAUCCAUUAGUAACGACAAAAUAAUAUUUGAUGAUAAACGAUUACUCAAUAUUAAUAACAUAAACAUAAAUAAUAUUUUAUGUUUUUAUUUUUGUACCAACGAAACAUCCACAUUACAUAAAAAAAAAUUGGUACAAAAAAUAUAUACAUACGAUUCGUACAUAUUUGAAGAUGAUGGAAGUAUAAGUAGAGAUAGUAGUAAUUUAAAUUCUAAUUUAUGUGUUAGUGAUGGUGUUAGUGCUAUCAGUGGUAGUGUCAACGGUAGUGGUAGUAGUGGUAGUGGUAGUGGUAGUAGUGGUAGUGGUAGUAGUGGUAGUAGUGGUAGUGGUAGUGGUAGUGGUAGUGGUAGUGGUAGUGGUAGUGGUAGUGGUAGUGGUAGUGAUAGUGGUAGUAGUAGUGAUAAUAAUUAUAGCAGCACAAGUACCAUCAGUGAUGAAGAACUUUUAUUUUUAAAAUGUAAAAAUUCAGAUGAAUUUGAUAAUAAUUGCGACAAUAAUGGAUAUAUUUAUAACGAAGAGAAUGAAUAUUUUAAUAAAAUUAGAAAAAGAAAAAAAAAAAGAAGAAAAAGAAGGAGGAGGAGGAGGAGAAAAAAAAUAAUAAAAAAUAAAAAGAGAGUACAUAAUAAUGGUGAUAGAGAAAGUAAAAUACAUUAUGAACAAAAUAAAAACGAAAACAAAUUAAUAAAAUCAAUUAAACCAACAAAAAUGGAUAAAAAUGUUGAAAAACUUAUGAACCGAGCUAAUAAUUUAUACAUUAAUAACAAAUUUGAAGAUUGUAUAAUUUUAUUAGAACAAAUAAUUAAAAUGUCACCUUAUUCACAUGAUCCUUUUCAUUUGUUAGGAUUAAUAUAUGAAAGAGAAUUUAAAAAUAUAAAAAAAGCAAUUAAUUAUUAUUUCAUUGCAGCACAACUAUCACAUAAUGAUUUUUUGUCAUGGUAUAAUAUUGUUGAUUUGUGUAAACUUCAGAAACAAUAUAAUCUUAUUAUAUAUUGUUUAUAUAAAGUAUUAAAAAUUUAUAAUAGAAAAAGAAAAAAAUAUAAAAAAAAAAAAAAUGAUAAAAAAAAAAAAAAUGAUAAAAAAAAAAAAAAUGAUAAAAAAAANNNNNNNNNNNNNNNNNNNNNNNNNNNNNNNNNNNNNNNNNNNNNNNNNNNNNNNNNNNNNNNNNNNNNNNNNNNNNNNNNNNNNNNNNNNNNNNNNNNNAAAAAAAAAAAAAAAAAUGAUAAAAAAAACAAAAGUGAUAAAAAAAACAAAAGUGAUAAAAAAGAAGAUAAAGGUAAGGAUAUAUAUAAAGAUGAAGACGACAACUGCAAUAACUUUGUAAAACAUAUAUAUUUUAAUUUAGCAUUUACUUAUAUAUUAAUGGAAGAUUAUAAAAACGCAUUGAAAAAACUAUUAUACUUGAAACAUGUUAACAAAAGUGAAUAUAAUAUUUUGCUUGAUAUAUAUAUUUAUAUAUGUAUAAUAAAUAUAAGAAGGCCUGAUGAAUGUUAUACAUUUUUAAAGAAUAUUUAUUUGUGUAUAAUGCAAAACAAAGAAAACGAAUUUAAAAUAAAUAAUGAUCAAUUGUGUAAGACCCAUAUAGAUGAAAAUAAAAACAUCAAACCACAUGAACAAUGUAACUUAUUUAGUUAUGCUGAAAAUACGAUUAUAUCUUUACUUAUGCAAACACAAAUAUUAAAUAAUAAAUAUGAUGAAUGUAUAUAUGUAUACAAAACUAUAACAAAAACAAAUUAUAGUAUACAUAUAGAUAUAUUUAUACAAUUUAUCAAAUCAAUUAUUAUGAUCAAUCAUAAUAUAAAUUAUGAUUUUUUAAAAUAUAACUAUUUUUUUAAAACAAUUUUUAAUAAUUAUAUUUUUUAUGAAGAUCUUAUUUUUGAUAUAGCUGAAUCAUUUUAUAUGAAAGAAAAUUAUUAUUCUGCUAUUAACUGUUAUCAGUUUUUAUAUGAAAAAAAAGACAAAUGUUUUAUUAUGAUGGAGGAGGAAAAAAAUAAUAAUAAUAGUGAAAAAUGUAUUAACUUAGGGUAUAAUACUGUAACUAAUUGUCAUGAUUAUAAGGACAGUGGUAACUAUAAUAGUGAUAAUACGAAAGAAGAAACUAUCACUACUAUUACCACUCCCUCAAGUAGUACAAUACAAUUUAAUAGUAAAAUUGACUUUGUUCUUAUAACAUACAAGUUUGUAAAAUGUUAUUAUUAUUUAGAAGAUUAUAUAAAAGCAGAACAAAUAAUUGUAAAACUAUUAAAUAAUGAGAAAAUAAAAAAAAAUAAUAUUGAAAUUGAUUUAAAAUGUUUAUAUCUAAAUAUAUUAUAUAAAUUAAAAAAAUAUAAUAAAUCAAUUAAUAUUUUAUUAAGUAUAAAAGAAAAAAAAUUACGUUUAAUUUCUUUAAUUCCUAAUCCAUUAAGUAAUAAAGAAAGAGAAAAACAAUUAAUAAAAAUUUUAAACAAAAAAAAUAAAUUGUUACUAUACACAUCACACAAUAAUUAUAUUAUACAUAUGUGUUAUUUUUUAUGUCCUCCGAAUAAUGAUAUUUUUUAUAAAUAUAAUAACUAUUUAAUUAGAUUUACUAUUAACGACAUUAUUAAAAUUAAUGAAAAUAUAUGUUUUUGUUAUUUUUGUGUAAAAUAUAAUUUUCGAAUUCUGGAUUUGCUCUAUAUCUAUAACAUACUACUCUUGUUAAAAAAUAGUGACAACAAGCAAAGCGGGAAAAACGGGAAAAAAAAGCUAAAAUGGGAAAAAAUGAAAAAUUAG
ensembl:lncRNA